GUGUAGAUGAACGUUGAUGAACAUGAUUUGUUUUCACGUGUAUGAAAACACACUGCAUGGCUUGAAUAGUUAGUCGCUAGGGCACUGUGCCAUCAACUAUAGGUUUCGGGUGAAAUUGUUCUCCAUGGAUGGUCGCAAAAUGGAAAUUCCCACUGACCUAUAUACGAAGCACUACGUGCAUAAAUUUUCGCUAUUUUAAUGGUCUUAAAGUCUUCGUAAGUGCAUAAAGUGAACGUCAAAUUGUUCUUUCAAUUACGCUUUUUCUUCUGGGGGCUUUUUGAAAGAAAUUCAUCAAGAAUAUACAGAAUUAUAUCAACGUUUCGCUAUCGAGGAGUGGAGUAGAUUCCGAGGUGGAUUCUUACUACCAUUUUCGAGCUUCCGUGAAGCGUGCAUUUAUAACUAGGUUUUAAAACGUUUCUUCAGCAUGAGUUUGUCAUUCAAAACUUUUUGUUUUGCUCCUAAAACAUUUUGUUUUGACAUAAU